rnacentral:rRNA from 1 species
UGAGUAACCUGCCCUUGAUUCUGGGAUAAGCCUGGGAAACCGGGUCUAAUACCGGAUAUGACUGCCGGCCGCAUGGCCUGGUGGUGGAAAGCUUUUGCGGUGUGGGAUGAGCUCGCGGCCUAUCAGCUAGUUGGUGUGGGUAAUGGCCCACCAAGGCGACGACGGGUAGCCGGCCUGAGAGGGUGACCGGCCACACGUGGGACUGAGACACGGCCCAAACUCCGUACGGGAGCAG